rnacentral:rRNA from 1 species
CGAACGCUGGCGGCGCGCUUCACACAUGCAAGUCGAACGGAAAGGCCUGCUUUCCCUUGUGGAUUGCGGGUACUCGAGUGGCGAACGGGUGAGUAACACGUGAGUGAUCUGCCCCCAACUUGGGUAUAAGCCUGGGAAACUGGGUCUAAUUCCCGAUAGGACUGCAGGGUGGUGCCUGUGGUGGAAAACGAUUUUCUAGUGGUUGGGGAUGAGCUCGCGGCCUAUCAGCUUGUUGGUGGGGUAAUGGCCUACCAAGGCGGCGACGGGUAGCCGGCCUGAGAGGGUGGACGGCCACAUUGGGACUGAGAUACGGCCCAGACUCCUACGGGAGGCAGCAGUGGGGAAUAUUGCACAAUGGGCGGAAGCCUGAUGCAGCGACGCCGCGUGGGGGAUGACGGCCUUCGGGUUGUAAACUCCUUUCGACCGCGAGGAAGCCACCUGGUUGGAAGGGUGGUGACGGUAGUGGUAGAAGAAGCACCGGCUAACUACGUG